GACGAACGCUGGCGGCGUGCUUAACACAUGCAAGUCGAACGGUAAGGCCCUGCUUUUGUGGGGUGCUCGAGUGGCGAACGGGUGAGUAACACGUGAGUAACCUGCCUUUGACUUUGGGAUAACUUCAGGAAACUGGGGCUAAUCCCGGAUAGGAGCUCCUGCUGCAUGGUGGUGGUUGGAAAGUUUCGGCGGUUGGGGAUGGACUCGCGGCUGAUCAGCUUGUUGGUGGGGUAGUGGCUUACCAAGGCAUUGACGGGUAGCCGGCCUGAGAGGGUGACCGGCCACAGUGGGACUGAGAUACGGCCGGGAGUCCUGCGGGAGGCAGGAGUGGGGAAUAUUGCACGAUGGGCGGAAGCCGGAUGCAGCAACGCCGCGUGCGGGAUGAUGGCCUUCGGUUGGUAAACCGCUUACGCCUGUGAGGAAGCGUGGGUGACGGUAAUGGGUAAAGAAGCACCGGCUAACUACGUG
rnacentral:rRNA from 1 species